rnacentral:ncRNA from 1 species
UAAUAAGCGAUGACGGGAACAAGUAGACGGAGUCAAGCCCUCCAGAGAGCCGGUGGGAGGUGUGAACCGGCGGGCGGCGGCCGUACGAAUGGAUCCUUGAGCUGACGGUUGAACGUGCGCUGGAGAACCCCUGUCGGGGCAGUCAUGGCUAUGCAUCCGGUACACCUGUAUGCCGUUCCGGCUUCUCCCCGUUACAGGAGAUCAAGGCUCGUCCUAUGCCUGCGUUAUUAUACCGGAUGGCUGGUCGAGCGAAUUAGGGUGGCACCACGGUCUUUCGUCCCUUGC